CGGGGGGGUGCAAGCGUUAUUCGGAAUCACUGGGCGUAAAGAGCGCGUAGGCGGUCUCUUAAGUCAGAUGUGAAAGCCCGGGGGCUCAACCCCGGAAGUGCAUUUGAAACGAAGGGACUUGAGUAUGGGAGAGGGAAGUGGAAUUCCUGGUGUAGCGGUGAAAUGCGUAGAUAUCAGGAGGAACACCGGUGGCGAUGGCGACUUCCUGGACCAAUACUGACGCUGAGGCGCGAAGGCGUGGGGAGCAAACAGGAUUAGAUACCCUGGUAGUCCACGCAGUAAACGUUGAACACUAGGUGUAGCGGGUAUUGACCCCUGCUGUGCCGCAGCUAACGCAUUAAGUGUUCCGCCUGGGGAGUACGGCCGCAAGGCUA
rnacentral:rRNA from 1 species